GGCGGCAUAGCUCAGUUGGUAGAGCACCCGGCUCAUACCCGGUAUGUCCCUGGUUCGAACCCAGGUGCCGCCACCA
rnacentral:tRNA from 1 species